AAGUCGUAACAAGGUUUCCGUAGGUGAACCUGUGGAAGGAUCAUUCAUAAUAAAGUGUUUUAUGGCACUUUUAAAACAACCCAUAUCCACCUUGUGUGCAAUGUUUUUUAUAAUUUUCAACUCUAUUUUAAUUUAUUUUGUCUGAAAUAUAUUAUGAAUACUUAAUUCAAAAAUAUAACUUUCAACAACGGAGCUCUUGGCUCUC
rnacentral:misc_RNA from 1 species